UUUCACUUUGAUUUGUGUGGGUGAAAUUUGUUCAAAGUAAAAAACAAGAGUCAACAUAGGCUAGAAUUAUUUAUUAAAGAAUUAUUUAUCAAUAUAUAUAUAUUGGUAAAAAUAGAAAAAAUAUAUAUUUUUUUAAUUUAAUUUUACAUAUCCUUCACGCAUUGGUCUUCCCAACCACACGUGUCUUACGAAAUGCUCCUCCUCCUCGCGUCGUAUGGAAUGCACGUUCUAUGAUGGAAUGCACAUUAUGUUGGCUUCACUCCUUCUCAUUUUUUACAUAGUAUACCAUUCAUCUUCUAUCUUCCCUUCUCCAUUUACAAUCUUCAUUAUUUAUUUAUUUCCCGAGCAAUAUCAUACUUUUUUUAAAAAGGUGUUGGUUUAGAUAUCUUAUCAGUUUCCGUACAAAACUCGUCGUAUUUUUGUG
rnacentral:lncRNA from 1 species